rnacentral:rRNA from 1 species
AACGAACGCUGGCGGCAUGCCUAACACAUGCAAGUCGAACGAGACCUUCGGGUCUAGUGGCGCACGGGCGCGUAACGCGUGGGAACCUGCCCUUAGGUUCGGAAUAACUCCCUGAAAGGGGUGCUAAUACCGGAUAAUGUCUUCGGACCAAAGAUUUAUCGCCUUUGGAUGGGCCCGCGUUGGAUUAGCUAGUUGGUAGGGUAAAAGCCUACCAAGGCGACGAUCCAUAGCUGGUCUGAGAGGAUGAUCAGCCACACUGGGACUGAGACACGGCCCAGACUCCUACGGGAGGCAGCAGUGGGGAAUAUUGGACAAUGGGCGAAAGCCUGAUCCAGCAAUGCCGCGUGAGUGAUGAAGGCCUUAGGGUUGUAAAGCUCUUUUACCCGGGAUGAUAAUGACAGUACCGGGAGAAUAAGCUCCGGCUAACUCCGUG